rnacentral:rRNA from 1 species
GAUGAACGCUGGCGGCGUGCCUAAUACAUGCAAGUCGAGCGAACGGACGAGAAGCUUGCUUCUCUGAUGUUAGCGGCGGACGGGUGAGUAACACGUGGAUAACCUACCUAUAAGACUGGGAUAACUUCGGGAAACCGGAGCUAAUACCGGAUAAUAUUUUGAACCGCAUGGUUCAAAAGUGAAAGACGGUCUUGCUGUCACUUAUAGAUGGAUCCGCGCUGCAUUAGCUAGUUGGUAAGGUAACGGCUUACCAAGGCAACGAUGCAUAGCCGACCUGAGAGGGUGAUCGGCCACACUGGAACUGAGACACGGUCCAGACUCCUACGGGAGGCAGCAGUAGGGAAUCUUCCGCAAUGGGCGAAAGCCUGACGGAGCAACGACGCGUGAGUGAUGAAGGUCUUCGGAUCGUAAAACUCUGUUAUUAGGGAAGAACAUAUGUGUAAGUAACUGUGCACAUCUUGACGGUACCUAAUCAGAAAGCCACGGCUAACUACGUG